UACGUAGGGUGCGAGCGUUGCCCGGAUUUAUUGGGCGUAAAGGGCGCGUAGGCGGUGAGAUGCGUCCGUUGUGAAAUCGCCCGGCUCAACUGGGCGGGGUCAGCGGAUACGGUCUCACUUGAGCAAGCUAGGGGGCAAUGGAAUUCCCGGUGUAGUGGUGGAAUGCGUAGAUAUCGGGAGGAACACCAGUGGCGAAGGCGGCUUCCUGGACCGACACUGACGCUGAGGCGCGAAAGCUAGGGGAGCAAACGGG
rnacentral:rRNA from 1 species